ACGUUCAACGGCCGCGGUACAUUAACCGGCAAAGGUAGCGUAAUCAAUUGUCUUCUAAAUAAAGACCAGUAUGAAAGGCACCACGAGGAUUAAACUGUCUCCUUUUUCCGAUCAGUGAACCUAAUCUCUCCGUGAAGAAGCGGAGAUUUUUAUAUAAACGAGAAGACCCUGUGGAGCUUAAAAUAAUAAACGUUUUUGGUUGGGGGACCGCGGAAAAAACCUAACCUCCAUAAGAAAAUAAGUUACAACUUUAUGUAUCAAAAAAUUGACAUCAUCGACCCAACAAUUGAUCAAUGAACCAAGUUACCCCAGGGAUAACAGCACAAUCCACUUUGAGAGCCCCUAUCAACAAGGGGCUUAUGACCUCGAUGUUGGAUCGGGGUAUCCUAGGGGCACCGCUACAUAGGUU
rnacentral:rRNA from 1 species